rnacentral:misc_RNA from 1 species
AAUUGCAGUGUCCAUAACAAAAGUAAACCACAUCUCAUUGACUCUAGCCCUGAACUCAAAGGGAGAGUUGUAUUGUGCAACUGUAUAAAUCGUACUAUUAUCUUUACUCCUGCUUUUUUCGAUAGCUGCUGCCCAUUUAGUGUCAGCGAUGCUGGCAGUAAGGGCAGCAGCUUGUUUCGGAAUAUCACCAUCCGUAACAAAUCCACUGAAUUGCCUGACCG